rnacentral:rRNA from 1 species
CGAGCGAUGAGGCUCCCUUCGGGGAGUACAUCAGCGGCAGACGGGUGAGUAACACGUAGAUAACCUGCCCUCAAGACGGGGACAACCGGUGGAAACAGCGGCUAAUACCCGAUAUGCUCACAGGAUCGGGAGAUCGAGUGAGGAAAGGCUUUGGUGCUUGAGGAGGGAUCUGCGGCCCAUCAGCUAGUUGGUGAGCUAACGGCUCACCAAGGCGAAGACGGGUAGGGGGUGUGAGAGCAUGGCCCCCCACAAUGGGACUGAGACACGGCCCAUACUCCUACGGGAGGCAGCAGCGGGGAAUAUUGCGCAAUGGACGGAAGUCAGACGCAGCGACGCCGCGUGGGUGAGGAAGGCCUUCGGGUUGUAAAGCCCUUUUCAGGGGAGCGAGAAAGGACGGUACCCCUGGAAUAAGCGUCGGCUAACUACGUGCCAGCAGCCGCGGUAAGACGUAGGACGCAAGCGUUAUCCGGAUUUACUGGGCGUAAAGCGCCUGUAGGCGGUCAAGUAAGUCGGAUGUGAAAGCCCCGUGCUCAACGCGGGGAAGCCAUUCGAUACUGCGUGACUAGAGAACGGCAGAGGGAAACGGAAUUUCUGGUGUAGCGGUAAAAUGCGCAGAGAUCAGAAAGAACACCGAUGGCGAAGGCAGUUUCCUAGGCCGCAUCUGACGCUGAGAGGCGAAAGCUAGGGGAGCAAACAGGAUUAGAGACCCUGGUAGUCCUAGCUGUAAACGAUGGAUGCUAGGUGUGGGCCGGAAAGGUCCGUGCCGUAGUUAACGCGAUAAGCAUCCCGCCUGGGGAG